CUGAGGUCGUCGUAAGGCGGCCGGAUCGCGGCGCAGAAGUCAGCAGAGGGCGUAGUAGGCGGUAGCGUGCCGCUAAAGGCC
rnacentral:ncRNA from 1 species